rnacentral:lncRNA from 1 species
UUUGUCUAACAGAAGUGCCAGAGCUUGCAAAGCUCAGAUCCCACCACCACAAGGGACUUACAUCCAGGAGGCGCCAGGCCCCGGCAUUUUUCUGCUGCUGACACCAAGCUCAGCUUUUAAAGCUGCCUUCACUGACAGCCUUGGGCUUGAUCCUUGCAGCCUGUGGUAUUUAGGAGGACAGGGUAUACAAUCCACCAGCUUCUUUCUGUCUUUAAUUUCUAGGAAACUAUUAUAGAGCCUUCCAAAAAGGCUCACGUCUGCCUGCCAGCACCACAUUAGCAUGACUACUGCUUUGAAACACGGUAACUACAGCAGCUCAGUAUCUGUAAUGCAUCCCCUGCUGUACUGUGUAGCUUUGCACACGCCUAUGUGCCAUUAAUGAAUCAUCACGUGGGAAGUGUUUUCAUUAUCCCUUGCCUUUCUAGCACUGGGGUUUCUUGGCAAAUGUGCAGCCCAGGCCACAGCAGCUGUCUGUCUCACUCUCCUUCAUUUAGAUUAAAAAUGUUUUUUGUUGUUGUUGUUUUGAAGUGCCCAUUGAAGUGACAGGAUGGAGAAGGAUGGCUAAGUCCAAGUCCGAAUAUCUUUAUUUCAAGACUACGCUAAUAGCCUCUAAGAAUUUUUCUCUGCUGCACUUCAGAUAAGAGUGGUCAAACAUGAAUGAUAGUCGUUCGGGACAAGGGUCAUUUCAGAGCAGCCAGCGUCAGACCCAACCGAGUGAAGCCAGGAGGGACUUUAAAAUGUAAUUCAGCCAGAAGAACAGGACACGGAUCAGCAAGGGAGAACCAAAAAGUACGGGGAGAUCAAUAUGGAGAAACACCUACAUUCAGC